rnacentral:rRNA from 1 species
UACGUAGGGGGCAAGCGUUAUCCGGAUUUACUGGGUGUAAAGGGAGCGUAGACGGCUGUGCAAGUCUGAAGUGAAAUGCCGGGGCCCAACCCCGGAACUGCUUUGGAAACUGUACAGCUAGAGUGCAGGAGGGGUGAGCGGAAUUCCUAGUGUAGCGGUGAAAUGCGUAGAUAUUAGGAGGAACACCGGUGGCGAAGGCGGCUCACUGGACUGUAACUGACGUUGAGGCUCGAAAGCGUG